rnacentral:lncRNA from 1 species
CUUCCAAAUUAGGCAAAAUAUAGAAAAGCACUUUGCAUCAGUCCAUCAGGAAGCACCGAGACUGGUAAGAAAAGCAGAGAACUGCUCUGUUUCCUCUGGAAUGAAGUUUCCUGUACUGAGUAUGUGAGCUGCUGUUUUCAGUUCUACCAUGUGCAGAAUAGAGGUAACAUUUGCAGUAUCCAGAGAUUAGGAAAUGGACAAUCUUUAGGGGUCAAGUCAGCCCAUCACAGCUAGAUUUUUAUUAUCGAAUACAUUUUCAAAGAAGAGAAAUAAAUGAUUUAGUACAUGCAUGUACUUCAGGUACAAACAGCUUGAAAUGCUUUGUCUUUAUGGCUUUCACAACUGUUAUUUUAUGAAUUAAAAGCUAUUACUCAUUAAUAACAACUUUAUUUGUUUUAAAGUUCUUGGAUCAUGACUUUUGUUUAUCUUCUAAUGACUGUACUACUACUAUCACAUACUCUGAUG